rnacentral:piRNA from 1 species
UCCCUCGAUGUAGGCCUGACUCCCC